rnacentral:lncRNA from 1 species
CGGGCGCCGCUUGCUGCCUGAGCCAACCCCGAGCCGCCCCGAGCCGGGCGGAGGCGGCGAACGCAGUGCGGAACCCGGGGUCCUCUCCGGAGGCCGUCGUCUCUCCCGCCCCGUGCCCUGUGCACGCCCGGCAGCCCCCGACCCCGUACCGUAGCAGAACGGUUCGUUUAGUUUUUUUUAGAAAAACCAAGUGUCUUUAUUCCUCGAUCGUUUAGUAUGGCGGUGGGCGGCGCCCGCGCGGGGGAGCCUGGAGCCCAGGGAAUCGACCUGGAGGGCCAGUGGAGGGAGCGGAGGGUGCGAGGAUCGGCUCCUCCGCAGGCCGGCCCUGGAGGGGUUCUUGGGGGAUCGCGCCAGGCCAAAAGUCUGCAUGGGCGGCCCCGAGCCUCCCUGAGCCGGCGCGCCCCGGGCGUGGGGAGAGGCCGCUCUGGGCGCGGUGCCGCUGCGGGCCCGGGUGCGGCGCUCGCCCAGGGCUAGGUGCCCCGUCUCAGGCGAGACCCCAGGAGCCCGCCGCCCCCGCUGUCUCUUCAGCCGACGUAGACACGUCGGGCGGGACCCCAGUCUACGCGUGUUCAAGCUCUGGGUCCCCAUAGAGCAGGGCCCCGCUGAAGAUGGUGAGCGGCUCCUCCGAGUGCGCCAGCUGCCCCAUGACCAGGUCGACGCAGACCGUGUCCCCGGCCUGCAGCGGCAGGAUGAGGCUGAAGACGCCCAGGGUGCCCGGGCUGGGCUGGCUCUCGGCCACCGGCUUAUUCUCCAGGCCCUCAGGCUCGUAGCCACCGGAGUCUACGCGGGCCACGCCCUGGUUGGAGCGGGACAGCACGGCCUCCACUUUCUCGUGCCGGUGCCCAGUCAGCACCGCGCUCAGCAAGUAGCGUCCAGCCAGUGGCGCUGUGAACACGCCUGGGGACAAGGAUAGCAGUCAGGGGGGCCAGGGAAGCUCCGGGGAGCGCACCAGAACUCCUGGACUGAGGAGGGACCCUCUGGGUCUUUUCACCUCACUGGAAUGUGAGCGGCAGGGAACUGGGGGCUUUGUUCACUAUGCAUUCCCAGCACUUAAAACAGUGCCUGGGCAGGAGCAGGCCCCAGUAAAGAUCUGCUGAAUGAAUGAAUGACUACUUCUUCUCCCCACUGCCUGAGAAUGAAUAAAUGAAGAAAGAGCCGGGGUCUCCCCAAAUCAGAGAAUGAAGAUUCACACUGUCGGAAAAGGCAAGAAUGGGAAGAUAUCACUGCACACCUCACCCAUUUCUCCAACCGUUCAACCCAGCCCCUCCCAGGACUACCUGUCUCUGGAUCAUAAUAGCCUCCAUCAUUGAGCAGGACUCUGUCGAAGGGGACCGUGCCUGGUUCAGACCGGGGCAAACUCAGAGCAGCUGAAAAUGCCACUUGGGGCACAGGGGCUGCUGGUGCCCCCUCCACUCCUGAGUGGGAAGGGUGGAUGUUAAAGGGGAUGCUCAGG